GGGAAAGUGACUCUGUGGUAGAGUGCUUGCCUUGCAUGCAUGAGGCCCUGGGUUCGAUUCCUCAGCACCA
rnacentral:tRNA from 1 species